CACCCACCAACAAGAGAGAAUUGCUUAAAAAGAUUUUGAUGAAAAAUGUGGUACUAAAAGCCAAAAGUCCAGCUUAUAUUGAACCUCUUGAGACAAAACAUGGGCCCUCCAAAUUUGGCUAAUUAAAUUCUCAAUUGGGAACCACCCCAAAAAUUGCUUCAAGAGAAACAAAAGAAUGCCCCAUCUCUCUGUCCAAUUGCUUGCUUGCUUGCAUUGAAACAGAAGAAAGGCCCCUCUCUCUGUCCAAUUGCUUGCAGUGAAACAAAAGAAAGGCACCUCUCUCUUUCCAAUUCCUUGCAGUGAAACAAAA
rnacentral:lncRNA from 1 species